AACGUAGGUCACAAGCGUUGUCCGGAAUUACUGGGUGUAAAGGGAGCGCAGGCGGAAAGACAAGUUGGAAGUGAAAUCCAUGGGCUCAACCCAUGAACUGCUUUCAAAACUGUUUUUCUUGAGUAGUGCAGAGGUAGGCGGAAUUCCCGGUGUAGCGGUGGAAUGCGUAGAUAUCGGGAGGAACACCAGUGGCGAAGGCGGCCUACUGGGCACCAACUGACGCUGAGGCUCGAAAGUGUGGGUAGCAAACAGG
rnacentral:rRNA from 1 species